rnacentral:rRNA from 1 species
AUUGAACGCUGGCGGCAGGCCUAACACAUGCAAGUCGAACGAGUGGCGGACGGGUGAGUAAUGUCUGGGAAACUGCCUGAUGGAGGGGGAUAACUACUGGAAACGGUAGCUAAUACCGCAUACCAUCAGAUGUGCCCAUAGGGGAUUAGCUAGUUGGGGGGGUAACGGCUCACCAAGGCGACGAGCCCUAGCUGGUCUGAGAGGAUGACCAGCCACACUGGAACUGAGACACGGUCCAGACUCCUACGGGAGGCAGCAGUGGGGAAGAUUGCACAAUGGGCGCAAGCCUGAUGCAGCCAUGCCGCGUGUAUGAAGAAGGCCUUCGGGUUGUAAAGCACUUUCAGCGGGGAGGCGUUACUCGCAGAAGAAGCACCGGCUAACUCCGUGCCAGCAGCCGCGGUAAUUC